rnacentral:rRNA from 1 species
GAUGAACGCUGGCGGCGUGCCUAAUACAUGCAAGUUGAGCGUACAGAUGAGGAGCUUGCUCCUCUGACGUUAGCGGCGGACGGGUGAGUAACACGUGGAUAACCUACCUAUAAGACUGGGAUAACUUCGGGAAACCGGAGCUAAUACCGGAUAAUAUAUUGAACCGCAUGGUUCAAUAGUGAAAGACGGUUUUGCUGUCACUUAUAGAUGGAUCCGCGCCGCAUUAGCUAGUUGGUAAGGUAACGGCUUACCAAGGCAACGAUGCGUAGCCGACCUGAGAGGGUGAUCGGCCACACUGGAACUGAGACACGGUCCAGACUCCUACGGGAGGCAGCAGUAGGGAAUCUUCCGCAAUGGGCGAAAGCCUGACGGAGCAACGCCGCGUGAGUGAUGAAGGUCUUCGGAUCGUAAAACUCUGUUAUUAGGGAAGAACAAAUGUGUAAGUAACUAUGCACGUCUUGACGGUACCCAAUCAGAAAGCCACGGCUAACUACGUG